GACGAAGGGGGCUAGCGUUGCUCGGAAUCACUGGGCGUAAAGCGCACGUAGGCGGAUUGCUAAGUCAGGGGUGAAAUCCUGGAGCUCAACUCCAGAACUGCCUUUGAUACUGAGGAUCUUGAGUUCGGGAGAGGUGAGUGGAACUGCGAGUGUAGAGGUGAAAUUCGUAGAUAUUCGCAAGAACACCAGUGGCGAAGGCGGCUCACUGGCCCGAUACUGACGCUGAGGCACGAAAGCGUGGGGAGCAAACAGG
rnacentral:rRNA from 1 species